UGGGGAAUAUUGCGCAAUGGACGAAAGUCUGACGCAGCGACGCCGCGUGUGGGAGGAAGCUCUUCGGGGUGUAAACCACUGUCAGGAGGGAAGAACGGCGCCGGUUCGAACAGUUCCGGCGAUUGACGGUACCUCCAAAGGAAGCGCCGGCUAACUCUGUGCCAGCAGCCGCGGUAAUACAGAGGGUGCGAGCGUUGUCCGGAAUCACUGGGCGUAAAGGGCGCGUAGGCGGCCCGGUAAGUAGGGGGUGAAAUCUCAUGGCUCAACUGUGAGGCUGCCUUCUAGACUGCCAGGCUUGAGCACAGUAGAGGCGAGUGGAAUUCCCGGUGUAGCGGUGGAAUGCGUAGAGAUCGGGAAGAACAUCGGUGGCGAAGGCGGCUCGCUGGGCUGUUGCUGACGCUGAGGCGCGAAAGCUAGGGGAGCAAACGGGAUUAGAUACCCCAGUAGUCCCUGAGCGGGCUGGCAAGGCGCAU
rnacentral:rRNA from 1 species